rnacentral:piRNA from 1 species
UGGCCAGUCAUCCAGGUCCAGAGAUCAGA